rnacentral:lncRNA from 1 species
GGAGGUCACUCAUUACUGACCAACGAACUCUCUCUCAUUUACUCUCUCUUUCCAACGAAUAAAACCAUAAAAAAAGAAAUUCAAAAGAUCACUCACAUCUCUCUCACCUCACACUCACUCACGUUAUAUACCUCCCACCCAUGUGUCCCUCAUUUUGAAAAAAAAUCCCAACACACUACUCACUCAUCAAAAAACUCCCCCCACUCUCUCUCUCCAACAAAAGAAAAAGACAAUAUAAAAA